AUUGAACGCUGGCGGCAGGCUUAACACAUGCAAGUCGAGCGGGGGAAGGUAGCUUGCUACUGGACCUAGCGGCGGACGGGUGAGUAAUGCUUAGGAAUCUGCCUAUUAGUGGGGGACAACAUUUCGAAAGGGAUGCUAAUACCGCAUACGUCCUACGGAAGAAAGCAGGGGAUCUUCGGACCUUGCGCUAAUAGAUGAGCCUAAGUCGGAUUAGCUAGUUGGUGGGGUAAAGGCCUACCAAGGCGACGAUCUGUAGCGGGUCUGAGAGGAUGAUCCGCCACACUGGGACUGAGACACGGCCCAGACUCCUACGGGAGGCAGCAGUGGGGAAUAUUGGACAAUGGGGGGAACCCUGAUCCAGCCAUGCCGCGUGUGUGAAGAAGGCCUUUUGGUUGUAAAGCACUUUAAGCGAGGAGGAGGCUACUUUGGUUAAUACCUGAAGAUAGUGGACGUUACUCGCAGAAUAAGCACCGGCUAACUCUGUGCCAGCAGCCGCUGUAAAAC
rnacentral:rRNA from 1 species